CCAGCUCCUCCCUGUGCAAGCUCCAUGUAUCUAACGACCUGCAAGGCAUGUAACAAAGGAUCAACAACUAGUUGAGCGAGUUCACAGAAAGUAAAUGCGUAAUCAUAAGUUCGUUUGUAACAGGUGGCUCUACUGGGCCGAUAAUACGUUUUAUUGGUGGGGGCUUCCAAUGUUGUAUAACCACUAGACUAUUCGUAACCAUAAGUGUUCUACAUAUCCCGAGAACAGUAACACGUACAAGUUUACGUAGGUUUUACGUAAGUAAUCCUUCACAACCGAGGAUAGGGGUACGCGGGGGUUUACGUAGGUUUUACGUAAGUGCCUGACACAACCGAGGCAGUAGUGAGUAUAAGUUCACGUAGGUUUUACGUGAGUAUCCUUCACAACCGAGGAUAGCGAGUAGCAUAAGUAUAUGUAGGUUUUACGUAUGUGUCCUGCACAACCGAGGACGAUGGGGUACGCGGGGGUUUACGUAGGUUUUACGUAAGUGCCUGACACAACCGAGGCAGUAGUGAGUAUAAGUUCACGUAGGUUUUACGUGAGUAUCCUUCACAACCGAGGAUAGCGAGUAGCAUAAGUAUAUGUAGGUUUUACGUAUGUGUCCUGCACAACCGAGGACGAU
rnacentral:lncRNA from 1 species